UUUUUCGGAGAGUUUGAUCCUGGCUCAGGACGAACGCUGGCGGCGUGCCUAAUACAUGCAAGUCGAGCGGACAGAAGGGAGCUUGCUCCCGGAUGUUAGCGGCGGACGGGUGAGUAACACGUGGGUAACCUGCCUGUAAGACUGGGAUAACUCCGGGAAACCGGAGCUAAUACCGG
rnacentral:rRNA from 1 species